ACAGAAGGUGAGUUAGGUAUAACCAGGCUUGCCAACUCAAAGAAGGCAUUUCCGGGAUUUCCCAGCUCGGCAUUCGGUACUUUGGUAUAUUACGCGGGACACAACCUACACUUAUAAAAUGGCAGCAAAAAAAACUGUAUAUUUUUAAUAGAAAGCUUGAACAAACGAACGCUCCUCAAGCGAAAUACGUAAUGCAUAGGAGCGACAUUUAAAAUCUCAUACAAUACAAGAGACAAUAUUUCAGUGCAAAAAGUUAAACGCUGAACGCACAGAUUUUCAUGAAACGAACUGACUGAUUCAUAAGAAAAGGAGACAGACAAAUCACAAAAAAUAUGUUCACAGUCAGUAGACAAAAUAGAAAUGUUUAUAAUUAAAUGCAUUACAUACCUUUAAGUAAGUACUUUUAAAAUCCUAUAGCUCACAAAGCUACACUAACUUCUUUUGAACUGUACUUAUUU